CGGCGGCGGCGGCGGCGCCCGCACCCGGUCCCUGGCGGCGCGGGGCGGCGCGGCGCGGCGGGGCCGGCGCUGCUGCAGCGACGCCGAGCCGCAGACCCUCCCCUCGCUCCCGGACGGCACCCACUGUUUGCCAGUCACCAGUUAAUUUCUGCAGGCACUGAGCUCUGGGAGGCGGAAUGCUUAAAGGAGCAGUAUCAUUCCACUCUUCGUGUAAUAAAACACAACACAACCCUUUCCAAAUAGCUGUGGAGGAAAGAAAAAGACAUAAACAUUGAACUGAUAUACCAGAGGACCAAAGCUGACUUUUUAAUUCAUUGUUGAAAUUUCAAAAGUGACUAUAUUUUUCUCCUUUUUAAAAAAUAUUGUAUCAGCAGCAAGAGUCACCUCAAACAAAACAAAAGGAUGUACAGGUGUUACACACAGAUGUGUGGGAUUGUUGUGACAGUAGCCUCUAACUUUCCAGCAAAGACCGAGUACUCGUCCUUCCAGAUGGCAGCAAGACUAUCCUUAUGGCUGCGGGCAUGAUAAAUGCUCUCAGCAAUGUCCAAUAAAUCAUGCAAUCAGAGUCCAAAAUGACACCACAAUUUAUUGCAACUCUUAACAUUAAACUUUGUAAUGACUGUUUUAA